AUCUACUCACAUUUCAAAGAUUCCUUGCCUGCCGAGUCCGACCACUGGGUGCCUCACCGCCCGGAAAUGGAUCCUUCCGCUGAAGAUCCGUGAAGGAAGACUGACGGCGCUGCGAAAGGUCGUCAUCACGUUGCGCAAUGCCGCAGCCCGCAACGCUCCUCCCCCUCCUCCUCAUACGGUAGAAGAAGGAAGUCUCGCCGGGCCGCAAAGGUGCAAUGCCUAGGUCUUAUUUUCGGGGUAGGGCUUAUAUUGCAGCCCACCCCGAUAAUCCGGCUAGGGCUUAUUUUCGGGGUAGGGUGUAUUUUCGGGGAAACAGGGUAUAA